GACGAACGCUGGCGGCGUGCUUAACACAUGCAAGUCGAACGGUAAGGCCCCAGCUUGCUGGGGUACACGAGUGGCGAACGGGUGAGUAACACGUGGGGGACCUGCCCCGCACUUCGGGAUAAGCCUGGGAAACUGGGUCUAAUACCGGAUAGGACCGCACCGUGAGGGUGUGGUGGAAAGUUGUUCGGUGUGGGAUGGGCCCGCGGCCUAUCUGCUUGUUGGUGGGGUAAUGGCCUACCAAGGCGGCGACGGGUAGCCGGCCUGAGAGGGUGGACGGCCACAUUGGGACUGAGGCACGGCCCAGACUCCUACGGGAGGCAGCAGUGGGGAAUAUUGCACAAUGGGCGGAAGCCUGAUGCAGCGACGCCGCGUGGGGGAUGACGGCCUUCGGGUUGUAAACUCCUUUCACCAUCGACGAAGGUUUUCUGACGGUAGAUGGAGAAGAAGCACCGGCUAACUACGUG
rnacentral:rRNA from 1 species